CCUUCUAUUGUGGCAAAGUGGAGCAGGAGGAAGUGAAUGCUAGGAUGUGAACAGACCAAGCCAGGAUGAGGAUGGAGCCAACAUGAAGACAACAGCAGUCUGUAAACUUUUUUUUCUUUUUACACUAUCAGUUGUUUCCUUGUUUUUGGCAAAUGAGAAAUUGCUAAGAACUGCCAGGUAUUUGUUCAUUAUGAUCUUUUACACUUUCUUUUAAAGUGGACUUAAUGGAAUUAAUAUCUAUGCUUUGGUGGGAUUGAGAAUCAUGUGUCACUAUUGUGAUGUUUUUUUGCUAUCACAGUGUAACUCACAGAUAUUCAGUGAUGUAGUUGAAAAGGAUGUUUUUCAGAAACAGAUGGAUCAGAAAGUAUCAUGGGGCAGCACUCAGUCAGUCGUAUGUCUGGAAUUCCGCUAGUUCUGAACUAUUCGUGAUUGGCAAAAGUUCACUACUAGCAGAACUCGGAUAUACAACUGAAUUCUCAACGAAAGCUCAAGAUUAGCACAGUUUGGUCUCACAUGGCCUGCCAUUGGACAGCUGCUAUAUUCACAUGAUCUUCUUAUCGGAUGAAGUACCAGAAGUUAAGACCAUCUUUGGAUGUGCUACUCCAUGAAUCAUAACUGAAGGGCUACGGACUUGAUUACAACCAGACACAUGAGAUACUUCUCUGUUUUCAUGUUUUAGCUGUGGUAAAAUUGUGUGGUCUGUUUGAAACAGGAAGAAAUAAGACCAAUGUAACAUAUUUAAUAUAUAAACUAUUGUACUGUAUGUCUCUACUCUUCAACUGCUACAUUUAACAACACAAUUCUUUCUUUCUUUGCAUUUAUUGUACAUUUUGUAAGAUAAUAAUGAAUUUCUACUAAUUCUACUGGUUCAGCAAGCCAAGACCAAGUUACAAAAAAAUGUCAAGAAUCAAAAAUUCCUAUUGUGUCUAUGUUUAUUAUUUACAAUCACUGUAAAAU